CGCCAGUUAGCUCAGUUGGUUAGAGUGUGGUUUUGAUAAAGCCAAGGCAUGGAUUCGAUCCCCAUACAAGCUA